rnacentral:rRNA from 1 species
GUGAGUAGUUCAGAGUUUGAUCCUGGCUCAGGAUGAACGCUGGCGGCGUGCCUAACACAUGCAAGUCGAACGAAGCACCUAACUUUGAUUCCUUCGGGUUGAAGAGUUUUGUGACUGAGUGGCGGACGGGUGAGUAACGCGUGGGUAACCUGCCUCAUACAGGGGGAUAACAGUUAGAAAUGACUGCUAAUACCGCAUAAGCGCACAGCAUCGCAUGGUGCAGUGUGAAAAACUCCGGUGGUAUGAGAUGGACCCGCGUCUGAUUAGCUAGUUGGCGAGGUAACGGCUCACCAAGGCGACGAUCAGUAGCCGGCCUGAGAGGGUGAACGGCCACAUUGGGACUGAGACACGGCCCAA